UACGUAGGGGGCUAGCGUUGUCCGGAAUUAUUGGGCGUAAAGAGCGUGUAGGCGGUCCGGUAAGUCAGCUGUGAAAGUCAAGGGCUCAACCCUUGAAUGCCGGUUGAUACUGUCGGGCUAGAGUCCGGAAGAGGCGAGUGGAAUUCCCGGUGUAGCGGUGAAAUGCGCAGAUAUCGGGGAGGAACACCAAUGGCGAAGGCAGCUCGCUGGGACGGUACUGACGCUGAGACGCGAAAAG
rnacentral:rRNA from 1 species